ACUGCAAUAUUUGAACGUCAUCAGAUCAAUUCGUUAUCACGUGAUUCAGUGGUUAUUUUCAGGUAUCAGGCAUCGUAUUGGUUGGAAAUGGCUCAAUAUUAGCUUCGAAAAAUGCUUCUGCAAGCCACGAAAAUUCAAGUUGUCCAAAAAUUUGUCAAAUUUCUUGUAUUGCAAAAAAAUAAAAAAUAUGAAAGUGUUUUCUUAUAUUGUAGGAGUUUAUAAAUAUCAUGAUAUUUAAUUAUUAUUGUAUUCCCACAGCCAGUCCUUGUAUAAAAAAAUUGAAUUAAUGGAUAAUCGAAUUCUGGCUCCACGUAAAAAUGAUACCAUCUAUUAUUCCUCAGAAAAUAUAUACAAUUUGAGGCAAUGAAAUGUCUUUUAAAUAUAUUUCUUAGAGUACAAAUGUUUCCAUGUGGAUCGCCACUUUUCCUGAAAAAAAAGAAAUAUAUUUUUCAAUCAUUCACUCGUUACUCCCACCCCUUGAUAAAAUGAACAAACACAAGCAUGACAGACACAAGCUUCUCUAUCUCCCUCCUCUACACCCCUAGUUCCCCCCACCAACGAACAAUUUCCUCCUCAUGAAUGGACUUCAUUCAGGAUCAAUCCCCUUUCGCCCACGUUUCCACGGGCAUUACAUUCCCCCCGACGCGAGUUUGCGCAGCUGGUGAAAUAUUUUUCCGCCUUCACUUGGAGGAGUCUUUGUACUAGAAUUUUUUCCCCAUUGAGGAGAAAAAUGUUAUAUUGAAUUCGUAUCUUACUUCAUAAAGCCAGCAUUUAAUUCACAAAUUCAGAAGUUCUACUACAUGGAGCCAAAAUUCCAGCACCCAAAGUGGAUUUGUUCAUUAUCACUGAUUAUAUUUUCCUAUCAAAGCCACAAUCCAAGUUAAAAUGUUAAAACUCGUCCUUUAGAGUGGUGUUAUUUCAGAGUGUAUCGAUAUCGCCAUCUCGAUGUCGUGACUUUCAGAGUGACGAAUGGACGGUGUACAUGGUUCAUCUACAUCACUCUACGUAGCAUUAUCAUCGCAAGUUCAACAACACAUUAUCAAGCAACACAUCCCGUUUAGCGUCUCGGCCAGUGCCGGAAGAGUUUUGAUCACCUUCAGUAAUUUGCCGCUUCACAUCUGCACUAUGUCUUCCCUAGUUCAUCUUGAAGAUAUUCAAAUAUGUUGUAUGUGCGCAUCUUAAAAUGUUGAUGAAACAUAUGGCGUUUUCUUGAGUACGUGGAAAAAUAAGAAAUGAAUCGAUAUUUGUCUAUUUCCUGGUAGACAAUCAAUUUCAUUGUCAUAAAAUAGAAUAAAUGGAUUUCUUUUGA